rnacentral:lncRNA from 1 species
CGCGCCGCCGCCGCCGCCCACGCCUCAACUCGGCAGCUCAGCCAGCGCUGCAUGCUGUCCGCCCUCAGCCCAGCAAGCCGGCCCUCGAGCUCCGCUGGGCAGCGCAGGGCCGGCAGUAUAGAGUCCGCCGGCCCCGGACGGCCCCGGGUUAAUCCAGUGCAGAAACAGCUUCAUCUUGUUAUCCAAGCCAACUUCUGGAGCUUCUGGAAGGAUGAUGCUCUUCCAAGCUGAGAAAUGAUCACAGACCAGACUAGCAGCUGGGAGACUGCAAAGAAGAAGAGAUUACCUUUUCAUGAGAAACAGCAGCUUCCACAACUUCUCGGCUUCUUCCUGUGAAGUUCUCCUAGCUGAAGAAACAGAAGAUAGAAGGAUCAUCACAUGCCCAUUUUAUGGAGAACAAGACUGAGAGUUGAAGAGACUUCCACAGGUGGCAAGGGGAGGUCUGAGAAGAUGAUAUUGGAGCAAAGACCAGUAGGAGAUAAGGGAGCAACUCAUGCAUGUCUCUGGGAAAAGGGAACAGGAAACAUCUAUAGGGAGAAGACAGGUAAAGAUCCAAUAAGACAGUCCCUCAAGCCAGUACACAAGGGGUUGAGGACUUCAG